rnacentral:lncRNA from 1 species
CCUUGGCGUCGCCCCUUUGCUGUAAGUGCCCCUCCUGGCCUCUUUCUACCAUCCAUCCUCGCUGACGCUCGUCGAGACGGUGAAGCUGUCGGUACCUGAGAAAGCUAUAUGGAUCGAACCAACUCUAUCUGAACUCCCUCAGAUGGUACAACCCAUCUGCUCCAAUGUCAUGCAGAGGCUGCUGCGCUUUCAGGCAGAGGCUGCGCUCUGAACUUUAAGAGGAGUGAACUAACGGGACAAUUGUCGGUUGUUUUUUUCCGACGGCCCAAAAGUUAAGUGAAAGCGAAGCGACCCACUGGGAUUCCGACCGAAUCUCCCGAUUACCUGGGUCAGGGUGAUGAUGGGGUGAUGAUGAUUGUGAUGGGUGAUGAUGACUGUGUAGCACAUGGGUAGGACUUAUAGGACAGACACCUAUAAAGUGGGUUCUUAAGCAGAGGUGGUGAGUCCUAAACACUGAUUAUGAGUCAUAAUAAGUCAUAAUGCAGUCUUUACCAAAUAAAGUCCAAUAGUAACGGUAUGUGAAAUUAACCAAAUCAUUACCACUUUUUAAAAAUUUGUAUGUCUUUGUUAAAACCAAUUUGUUGGUGUUUGCUUCUUUAUCCAUUGAUUUAAUAAUUUGAAUGUAUUUUUAAUAAUGUAUUUGUAUGUAUAAUUGCAAAUUGCUUAUAAAGUGUUUUGCAAAAGAUCCUUCCUCCAUUCUUUCAUUGUCUGCAGUCCUACAUUAAUCAAUUUCAUGACUCAAAACAACUCUAAACUCAGGGGAGAUGUUUGCCUAUCUGCCGAUCAUCUCAAUUACAGUUUGGUUUGAAAUGCCAUACCAUCUCAUAGUUUAAUUGUGGAACCUGCACAAUUUAAGAAAGCUGUUUUCAUCUUUGCAAUGUCUCCUUAUUGAUUGCCUUUUUAAUCUGUACUAAUAAACAUUCAUCCUAUUUUGAUUUAUAUAUUUUAUGUACUUGUAUGUCUGUAUGUCAGUGUGUAGACUAGCUUUUUUUGAUAUAAUGGUUUAGCUAGCAGUUGCUUUGAAGAGUGCCAAGAUCAAGUCCCCUCUGAGUUUUUAUUUUUCAGCUUUCCAUCACAUUCAUAU